GUUGUUGGUUGGUUGGUUGGUUGGUCGGUCAAUUGGUCGGUCGAUUGGUCGGUCGAUUGGUUGGUCGGUUGGUUGGCUGGUUGACU
rnacentral:pre_miRNA from 1 species